rnacentral:rRNA from 1 species
GCCAGCCCGCUCAGAACUUAAAGGCAUUGACGGGACCCGCACAAGCAGCGGAACAUGUGGUUUAAUUCGAAGCAACGCGAAGAACCUUACCUGGUCUUGACAUCCCGGAGACCCUUAGGAAACUAGGGGUGCUUCCAUCUGGAAGAAUCUGGAGACAGGUGCUGCAUGGCUGUCGUCAGCUCGUGUCGUGAGAUGUUGGGUUAAGUCCCGCAACGAGCGCAACCCUUGCCUUUAGUUGCCAGCAGUUCGGCUGGGCACUCUAAAGGGACUGCCGGUGUUAAACCGGAGGAAGGUGGGGAUGACGUCAAGUCCUCAUGGCCUUUAUGACCAGGGCUACACACGUACUACAAUGGCCGAUACAAAGGGCAGCGACACUGCGAGGUGAAGCCAAUCCCGUAAAAUCGGUCUCAGUCCGGAUUGGAGUCUGCAACUCGACUCCAUGAAGUUGGAAUCGCUAGUAAUCGUGGAUCAGCAUGCCACGGUGAAUACGUUCCCGGGCCUU